UAAUACGGGGGGAGCAAGCGUUGUUCGGAUUUACUGGGCGUAAAGGGCGCGUAGGCGGCCACCGCAAGUCAGUUGUGAAAUCUCCGGGCUAAACUCGGAAAGGUCAACUGAUACUGCGGGGCUAGAGUGCGGAAGGGGCAACUGGAAUUCUCGGUGUAGCGGUGAAAUGCGUAGAUAUCGAGAGGAACACCUGCGGCGAAGGCGGGUUGCUGGGCCGACACCGACGCUGAGGCGCGAAAGCUAGGGGAGCGAACGG
rnacentral:rRNA from 1 species